CAGGCAGCUACUUCUGUGUGGUGAGCCAGUUAUUGAGGAACACAACAGAACUGCACAAUGCUUCACCAGAAGGAGAUGCUGUCUAAAUGUGGACUCACAGCCUUCAGUGUUUCACUUUUCCAUCAUGCUGUUGUCCUGCUUCUCCUGACAGACUGCUGUAAAGGUCAGUCUCAGGUAGUCGGUCCAACUCAGCCAGUAAUAGUAAGAGUUGGAGAUGAUGUCAUGUUGCCAUGCUAUCUGAAGCCGACUACAGAUGCUGUUAGUAUGACUUUGGAGUGGGCGAGACCUGACCUGAACCCCAGGUUUGUCCAUGUGUGGCAUAAAGGUAAAGAACUCCAGGAUAAUGAACAUUCAUCCUACAAAGGAAGAACGUCACUAUCCAUCGAGAGACUGAAACAUGGAGACGUUUCAUUAAAACUCUCCAAAGUGAAACUCUCUGAUAGUGGAAAAUACAGAUGCUACCUUCCAGAUCUGAAUAAAGAAUCUACUGUUGAGCUUGU